GACACAGACAAAGACCAGAGGAUGUCCCACACUGACGAGCAACAUUAUUUUAGUGUGAUUUGAACUUUUGCUAGCUGUGAAGAAAGGUUGAAAGGAAAUUUAGAGAACUUAGGCAAGAUACCCAUAUAACACUGUUGUAGAAGUAGCCUCACAGCGGACAAACAAGUCAAGCAGCAGCUGAUUGAUUUCACCCGGGAAAACCAAGUAAGCAGCCUGUGGCGAUGACAAGAAAGAGAUGAAAAUGUCCAGGAGUGAAGCAGCUCUGAGCAGCACCUCAGCUGACCUGUAGCAGAGGACUUAAUAAGAGCCCUAGCUGUGCGAGUUCAUGCUCCAACAGAGGGACGGGAAUCAGAAGGUGUGGAAGAAAUAGACCAGAGCGCUGCCUAUGUGUGCUCAUGCUUAGAGACAGAGGAACGAGAAUCAGGUGGUGUGAACAAAACAGACCAGGUAAGAGCAAUACACACACACAAACACACAUAAACACAGACACAUCGGCAUAGUGCAUUCCAUAGCCGCUUACCCUACCCGUAACCACCUUGUUAAGCCUUAUGAGACAAAUUGUGAUUUGUGAAUAUGGGCUGAUAUGAUUGAUUGAUUGAUUGAUUGAUAACUAAAUGCCUAACCCUAAAAUAAAAUAAGACACAGAUACACACAAAAUACUGUCAGCCCCAUCGUCUUUUUUAUACUAGUGUGAAACAUGUAGGUGCUUAACAGAGUUUUGCAAGUGUAUGACACACCUGUGGAGCCUGAGUUUCCCUCACACAGCACACAGCUCAGCUCAACAGUUAAGCCAUAAUCCACAUCUGAGGAUCAACUCUGGGACCAACAAGAAAACUUUGAUUCUCAUUUCAUAUUUAGCUAAAACACACAAACAACAGAGAGCUUCACAACUUGGACAAUUAUUUUCUUAGUAUUUGAUUUUCAUAAAUCAAGAUUCCAUUGCAACAAAAGAUUAAAUUAAAUUUAUUUUUACUGAGAACAUUUUCCUUUUUACAGUAUACACAUGGCAUGAAACUUAAAACCACCAUAACCCGGGUAGGUGUUCUUCUAAAAUGGGAAUAAUGUGGUUGGUCUUUUGUUUUAUUUGUUUUAUUAGUUUUAUUUCUUUCUUUUUGGAUGUCGCUGUAGCAGAGUACAGCCAAUGUCACUCUCAUUUAUGUCAUGUUGUGCUAUGUUUUUAGGUUCAGGAUGUAAAUGUAACAUAUUUUAACAACAGCAUGUAAAUGUGUAAAAUAGAGUGUAAAUGAUUGAUAAUGGUUGGUCUGAUGUGUUCAUGGAAUGGCCACACAGCUAGGCUGCUGCAGGACCUGUCACAAAAUUCUAUGUAUAAAGAUAAAUGUAUAGAUUAUAUGAAGGCUCUCCAUAUUAAGAUGGAACAUGAGUAAUCAGUUGCCAAUAAGAAGGUCCACUCAUAGUAAAAUGUGUCUUGUGUAGACAUUUAAAAUUAAAUUGCAACAGGUCCUGCAAUCACCUAGGAAGAAAACCUCUCUACAGUAAAAACAGAAAGCGAAAGUUACAGAUAUUUGCUUUAUUUUCUGUGAUUGUAUUAGAUUGUACUUUUCAUUAUCUGAAGAACAGGAAAAAAGAAAACAAAAUGUUUCAAGCAGCUGUCAGAUAUUUCAGAUGGUAAAUGUGUGAAUUUAAGCAGAUUUGCAGACGACAGAAAGUAAUAGUUCUGUGGCAAUGAAUUGGAGCAAGCAACUUUGAUUUUGACCAAGUGUAGAGAGUAUGGAUGGAUACCUCUCAGAAUAUCUGCAUACUGUAUAUGAGUGUCUAAGCAGUCCAAAGCGUCUUUCAGAGAGAUCGUUCAGUGACUGAACAUGUAACAUUUGUAAAUCCAAGGGGUUGAGCAGAGUGAACAGGAGAGGCCAAUGCCUGGAUAAUUUGUUGUUUCUCAGUAGAUCCACUACGUACCGCAACAAGAAGAGGCAAGAGGAAUUGGUAGGUAUGUCAUCCUGAUUACAGUGCAAUACGUCUCGACUCUCUCAGACACUCACACAGAUAAAUAUCUUCCCACAUUACAAAUCCUAAUCACAACUAUCCACACAACAUGGAGAUGAUGAUUGUAAGAAAUGAGAAGUUUGAAGCUUGGUGUCAUGUAUGCAUACACACACACACACACACACACAGGAAGGCAUUGAGACAAGACUUCACGUGGGUCUGUGGUUUUGUGUGUGAGAGAGAGAGAGAGAGAGAGAGAGAGAGAGAGAGAGAGAGAGAGAGAGAGAGAGAGAGAGAGAGAGAGAUGGUCUUUCUUCUUAAUAUGGACUUGUUGGGCCCAGAGCAGAGGGAGAAGGACUAAAUAAAGGCGCCCUCCUCCUCUGCUGCCUCCUCACUGUGACUAGAAAAGGGAAUGUAUUUAGCCAGAAGGGUAGGGGGUGGUGGGGGUGACAGACUAUCAGUGGGAGCAAUCACAUCCUGGAGGAGGGAAUGUUUAUCCAAAGCAGCAAUCCCUUUUUCCAUGUUCCCUGAAAUGAAAGACUGUCUUGGGCCAUAUAUGGGCAGACUGGGAGUUUCCAGCAGAACAGAGUCCGAGCAUUCUCUUUCUGCUUCUGUCUUUAUAGGUCUCUCAUUGUGUUGUGAAAGAGAGUUCAAUUUCAACAUCUGUACAUUUGAUAUGAAUCCAAAGUAGAUGCCACUUAUAUUCCAAUUUCAUAUACUGAGACCUGAGGAAGCAAUUUACACCACUCCUUCUGUUCAGUCUCCAAGGUCCUGAGUCUUACAAUAAUCAGGUCUUUAAAUACUGAAUGACAAAACAUCAUGUAUAAGCUGCUGUUAUAUCCCACAAACAAAUGCAAGUCAAUCAACCUAAAAACUGACAGAUAAGAGCUGUGGAUGGUGGGCUAAAGCUAGAACUGUGCUAAGCCACCACACAAUAUCAACAGUAGGAAUACAAAAUGUUUGGUUACGUUAUGUAUACAGUGCAUGGACUCAUCUAUCUAAGCUGCUGUAGUGUAUGCCGGUGGCUCUACGAUCUGUAUCAUUUAGACAAACCAAACAGGCCCAGUUUUAAUUAACCUCCUACAGCUUGUAGUGUGAAGCAAUAUGGACCAAUAAGAUUGACUAAUCAGCCGAUUUAGAUUCUUUGGGGCUGUGAUCUUAAAUUUAUCUCAGUCUAAUAAUGCCCUUUUGGAUGGGAUUAUCAAAUUAUAAAAUUGUCACACUGACUACAUGAGCUGCAGCAGCACUACCUCCACCUCACUCAUAAGCACCUUGAUUUUGGUUUUGGAAAAGUUAAGAUAAGAAAUCAUUGAUCAGCAGGGUCAUUUAAUAUUGAUGAGGAGCUUUGGUUUGACCAUUUAUGUUUGAAUGUGGGAGUGUAGAGGGCAGGGUAUGAGGCAGACCAAUGUACCCUUUUUUCCAGGUGGACUGGGAUUUUUCAGCCGUGCAUCUGCAAAGUUUUUUAAAUCUGAUGAUUUGUUUUGCGUACGCCAUUUUCUGCUAUUGUGCGCAUGUUCACUUUUAGUUUGAAUCCUAUGCAAUGUUUUAUAAGUGAGUCUAAUGAUGUUAUAAUUAUAGAGGAAGAUAAAUACCCAGGUUAUCACAUCAUAUUCUGAACACAAUUAAAUCCAGUGUCAUACAGACAAAAAUAAUUCAAUGAAAAAUCAGUCCAUAGGAAAUCACCAGUGGAAUGUCUCACUUAAUUACACCAAAAUGACAGCCCAUGUGUAGCACAUGGAAUUAUUAAACUGUCUAAGCUGACAAAAUUUAUGCUGUCUUUAUUUUUUUUCUAUCCGUUGACGUGCUGCUCUUCCCUAUGGCCCAUGGUGCAGUGCUGCAUCUCUGGUCAGUUGGUAGUCUGAGAUGAAGCACUGUAGCUCGGGACGGAGGACAGAAAUAUCAAUCUGAGCAUGUCCACAGUCAUGUAACUGCAUCAAUCAGCAGGUAAAUGGUACAUGGACAUUAUUUAUAUAGUGCUUUUCUAGUCUUAUCAACCACCAGUGCUUAACACUACCAGCCACAUUCACCCAUUCACACACACACAUUCAUACAGCACUAAUAUAUGAUGUGCAUAAGUACCAGAUAUGUGGUUUUCUUGUGUUAGGGAGUAUGAUGUGAAAUGAUAUGAUGAUGCCAGUCGAGGAUGAUGUACGCCCACAUCGAGUCUGUUUCUGCUAGAGGUUUGUUCCAGUUAAUGAGGGAGUUUCUCUAUAAUAUUUAAGGUCUCAACCUUACUAUACAAGUGCCUUGAAAUACUGUAUGUUAUGAUUUGGCGCCAUACAAAUUGAAUUGAAUAUAAUAUGUUUCUAUUAACAUUAUAGAAAAAAAUGUUGUCAUAAAAUGUGGACUGUGUGCAAAUAACCAAGAGUCAGCAUUAUAUAUUUUGGUAUAGCUUUCCAAAAUGUGGAAAAUCCAGUUUAGCACUUUGCUUGUCUUUGUAAGUCGUUUUACCCUUAUAGAGCUAUAUCAACCGGCACCCCUUAUUCUAUUCCAUUAUUCUAUUCUAUCAUCCAAUUCUGUAAUUGUCCAUUGCAGUGAAAAGCCUUCAAUUCCAGCUUGUGAAUCCAUUCAGAUUAAUUAAUUUUACAACAUUUAAUCAAUAUUGCUUUAAAUUGUAAAUGGUCUGGAUUUAGAUAGCUCUUUUCUAGACUUGAAGAUCACUUUUUUGCAGUUUGACCCAUUUACACACAUUCAUAAAGUGCAUCUAUGUGCAGCACGUUCUCUAUCACACAUCACUCACACACUGUCAGCACAACUGUCAGGGGCAAUUUGGGGUUCAGUAUAUUGCUCAACGACACUUCAGCACAUGGAUUGGAGGAGACUAGGAUCAAGCUACCAACCUUUUUGUUAAUGGACGACCCGCUCACCUCCUGAGCUACAGCCACCUUAAUAAAAUGCAGAAACCAUUUUUGAAGUGGCACUAUCAGAAGAAGGAAAGAAAAGCACAGAUGUGGUCGUUUCUAAUGUGAAAUCAACAGCUGCAGUGCUGCAUGUGAAGAAUGGAUCCAUUGCUGUUGGUGUCAUGAAAAUAAUGGAUCAAAUCAAAAGAUUUAUCUCCUCUCUCCUGGGGUCCAGUUUUCCCAGGAAUCCCUUGACCUAUCAGAAAGGGGGAUUCCUGGAAAUACUGUUCUUGGGGGUGGGGCUUAUCAGCAAUUCCAUGGGCCAUAUGAUACACCAUGAUCUUGUUUGGUGCCAAUGUUUGACAACGCUAGGGCUAGAGUUGGUGUUAGAGAAACACUAAUCAUUCUUUCAGUCACAUGUGAUUCUCCGGGUGUCCUUACUGAGGGGCUGCAAUGUAAGCAGCCAGCGCACAAUAUGUCAUUUAAUAUAUGAAUACUGCUCAUUGAUCAAUAAACUGUCAAAACAAAGAAAUAAUUGAAUAUAUUGACUUUUAUUUUAUUAAAUUUUUGUAAUUUACAUUUUUGGGGCUUUUUUUGCCUUUAUUUUGGAUAGGACAGAGAGCUAGCUGUGAAGGGGGGCAGAUAGUGUGUGUGGGGGAGGACAUUCAGCAAAGGGCCGCUGCGGAUGAGACAUAUCUUCAAUAGGGUGGCAGCUCUACCAGGUGAGCUAUAUGCUGCCCCAAAUAUUUUGUCAUUCAUUGUAUUUGAAUCCUGCACUUUGGGAUUAGAGUACAAUAGGAAAAAUGCCUUGAAUUUAAAAUGAUUUAGAAUUUAAAUUAAUGAAUUUCAAACUUUCUUUUACAACCAGACUGUUGACACAGUAAAAAGGCAGCUUUGUCCAGUGACUUCUCACUCUGUCCCCACCAAAUCAAACCAAAUUAAAAGGAUUGGAGAGGCCAUGCAUGUCCUGCAUGCAAGUCAUUCAAUGCUGACUUUUUCAAAUUGUAAAAAUGCCAUUUCAUAAUGUUAUCACAUGAUGUCUUCUACACCACAUCUUGAUGAAUGUUUGCGUAAUUUAAGUGAAAUGUAUAUCGUGUCUCUACUAAUAUUGGUUUCAAAAGUUCAUGCAUUAUUAUAUUAUAGGGUGAAAUGUUAAAUAAUCUUUCUAACUUCAUAGUGUCAUCAUCAUGACAUAAUUCUUACCGUACUUAAUGAUAAUUUCUGAUCAUGUUUGUUUUUUGUCUGUAUUUCUAUAGAAUGUAGACAUACCGAAAAAAAAAAUUUAAACUAUGCAUUUUUGUCAUUUUCAUUCUGACUUCUUCAAGACGAAAUCUAUACUAUAUCAUUUGAGCGGGAUUAAUUUGUUUAUAAAUAAUGUCAUCUAUAAUAAAAUGUAAUGAAUGAAUAUUAUUAUUAUUGUUAGUUUACAGAGAAUAUGGAUAAUGCAUGUGAUUUGCUAUCUUACAAAAGAGAUCCAGAAAUAUCUCCCUGUUUGUCUGUCCACAGUUCCACAAUAAGGUUUUUUGGAUGAGUCCAAAUCCAAUCCAAGCCCCCCAUUUAAUUUAAACCACUUUCUAGGUACAGCGGUAACAUCUCAAAAGGUUGCUAUGUGAGUUUCUAUAUAGACCCCCUCACCCCUCUCAGAGUAAAAUCUAAUUGAACAAUGACAGCUUAAUUUAUACCCAUCUUCAACCAACUCUGGAUAGUGUAAAGACCUUUUACAUCUAUGACAUAAAGAAGGAAGGUAAUUCAACAGAUGAAGCCUUAUGCUCCCAGAUCCACAAAUAUCAGUGAUAAAAUGUUACUGAUAAAUGCUGAUAAUUUAAUGUUCGAAAGUUUAAAAAGAAAACAUGAUGAUAAAAUGAGCAAUGAUGUUUACAAAUGCCUACAAGAUUAACGUGCUUAAUAGGAAGUAAAGUAUGAUGUGUAUGUGUAGGUGCUGACGUUCCUGUAGUGAGUGAGUGUUGUUUUGAGGAAUUUACUAUACUUAGAAAAAACUAAUUUUGGGCCCUGUAAUGUUUACGUGGCUUGUUUGUUUAAAUUCUACAAUAAAAUAUUAUUUAAGUGCUUUUACUUCAAAAUGCUGUGUGUUAUUUAAUCUGCUACUUGAAGUUUGUUAGUAAUUAUGAAUCAUCAUUUUGAUAAGUAAUUUUUAUCAUUCACGCCAAGUAAUAUUAACUACCCUUCUGUAUUGACUGCACGACCCGACACAAUGAAGUAAUGUUUACUUGGGUAACGGGAAUGAAAUUCGAAACCCUCUUCCUGCUCAGCCAGUGAAGUAAGAGGACAGUUUGCGCUCCUUUCACACAAUAGGAUAGACACUGACCAGAGCAGCAGCACCUGACCCAGGACAGAUGUCUCCUGGAUGAUUUUAUAACUCAUUUGAUGAGACAGUUCAUGGAUGUGAAGCCACUGGGAACAAAGAGGAGUUAAGAAGGAUCACAACAUUUCCUCUCCAGCAACCAUUUUGUCAACAUUGGACACUGGUUUUUCGGACAAAGGACAGGGUGGCUUGCACGAAAAAAAGGUCUAUGCUGGACUCACUCAGGCAGCAACAUAUCAAAGGUAGACGAGACAUCAUAAUCCGCUGCUUAAUAGAGUAACUUGGAGAGUCUGGAGAGGAACUCAUCAAGGACUACCAGCAAGGAAGCCAAAGAGGUCUUUUCUCAUCAUGACUUUAAGAUCUGAAGGAAAUGCAGCACAGGACGGCCACAACCCCUGACCAUUGUUCUUGAUGACUGUUGCAAAUGUUUACCUUUUGCUCAAUGCCUUAAAGAACAGAAUUUGUUGGUAAUUAACUUACUGUAUUUCUUACAAAGCUAUUGCACUUUACAGUGAUACUUCAUUGAAAAUAUAAUCUCUGCAGAUGUACACGUUUUUCUGUUUAGUCAGACUGUCUGAGUGAUUUUCUGAAAGCUCUUGAAAUUGUUAAAAAGUUUUGGCCACACUGUUGAGCAUGAGGCCACUUUGUAUGGCUAAAAGAUUGUAUGUUCUGUUAUGGCAGUGGUUACAAAAUAUGCAAGCAUUGCAGGCUAGCUGAGAUAUGCAUACUUAAAGGCCUUAAGAGGUUAGUUUGGAUUAUUGUAUGUGUGAUUGUAUGAGGUCCUUAUCAAUAGUCAGUGUAUUCGCUACGUGGAGCAACAGCAUGGAAUAUAAGCAAUGAUGUGCCAUGGACGGGGUAAGCAAAAAAGGUAUUUUAGCAAGUUAAAAGACCAACUAAACGCCAUAGGAGAAAUCACAUAUUUGUGUUUGUGUUAUUGUGUGACCUUGGGAAUCUGAAUUGUCCCUAAAACACUGAAGUCACACAAUAAUACAAACAAACUAAGGAUCUAGGCAGUUCAUUACUGAGCUUCUGUGCUGGUGCCCGUCUCUGCUUCUUCUAACUGUGGAUGUGCUGACUGCUAUCUACUGUAGCUAAUACACUGACUACAGAAAAAUACCUGAUACAGCCACACAUUUAAUAAUCCUAUCAAACUGUUUAAGAGGUCAAAUGCAUCAGAAAGGUCACAUGUCCUAUUUGAAAAUGUUUUAGUCUGACUAGGUGUUUCAAAUGCACUGAUUUAGAUAUGUUUUAAUGCACACCAUAUUGUAUGUGUAAAAAGCAUCCCACAAGGAUUUAAGAUACAUUAGAUAAUGUUUGAUAUUCUUGAGGGAAUUAAUGAAAUGUGCUAUGAAGGGGGUUGAAUUAAGUUUUUAGAUCCUUUAAAAUAGUAAAAGUACAUACGCAUCAGCAGACAUAAGUGUGAGUAUAUUCAUUGUGAAAUCUUUAUCUUGAUCUUAGCAGCACAAGCUCUGUAAAAUAAAUGUAGUAGGAUGAGAGUAAAAUAAUGAUAAUGGAAAUAACGUAGAGCAACUUUACCAUUCAGAUAGUUAACGUAAGUUUCAUUGUAACAAAACACUAUACUGCAACAAAAACAAAAAAAAGAUACAUGACCUUCAAGUUCAGAUCCAAAGGAGAGCAGGGAGAGACAAACAGUCUCUAUACUUUCCUCUUCUAUUUGGGAAAAUAGAGAAUAAUAAUCACUACUGUUCAAAAUCAGCAAAAUGUAAAACACAGAUUAUGAUAUGAAAUUUUAAAUAAAUCUAAUUUAUUUAAAGUAACGCAGAUGAACGAGUACUCUCUGCAGGUUGCUGUGCCUCAUGUUCUAUUGUAUGAAAGGUUUAAAGCCAUUAACUAAGAAGUUACUGUGUUUUGUAUGAAACUGGUAAAACGGGAAGAAGUCGUCCACUACCAUUGGGUACUAAAGCGAAUGCCGUCAACCCCCUCCUAUUCCUCUCCUCCAGUUGAUUCGUAAAAACAAACUAAAAUCGCACACAACUUAAACUUCUCCAUCUCUCAAUCUUAGGGGCGAUUUGGUUAACUGAAUUUGACCUGUUGUAUGUCACAAACAUGGCUUACCCUGCAGGGGCCAAAGAUCCACACAGAAAAUCUGCUUUUUCUUACUGUAUUCCACACACUUGUAGUAAGUUGGAAUAUUCAGACUUUAAGUCUGUGUAUGGAACAAUUUGAAAUAUAAUGCAAAUAACUUUGCACAAAAUAAAUGCAUAAAUAAUCAUUUUUAAAUCAAUCCCACAAUUGAAUUUGUAUUACUCAAUCACUUAAGUUAUCGACAAUGAAUCCUAGUUUGGUUUGCACUCAUUAUUUCAAAUAAAACAAUUUAUAUAUAAUCCUUUUUUAACUUGUAGUUUCACUCUGCUGUCUACAAAAGAGAUACUAAAUGAAAUUUGAACAUAUUUAGUUUUUCCACAAUGUUGCACUUUGCCAAUUCACCAGUCAAAGUAAUUUGUACAGAGUCACACAUUCACAUGUUGCUGUGGUUGUGACAUGGUUAAAACACAUUAAAGAGAUUGGUGGCUACAUGACAGCCAAAGAGAGAAGCUGUAUACAGCUUCUGCAUUCACACCUAACCAUUAACAAGUCUUUUAGACAAGAUCUCUACAUAGUGCAUCUUAAUGUUGAACUUUCUCGCCUAACAAAGUGAAAAUAAAUGCUAAUGCUAAGCUACCUGCAAUUAGAUAGUAUCCCUUGCCUCCCAGAGCGAUAACAGUCAUGAUUCAAUCUCUGCUGGAAUGAGGUGUGUUAUAAAAACCACCAGUCCUUUCAAUACUCACCGAAUCCAAAACCAAACUGAACUGAUUAGUGGAGAUUUGUCCAGAAAUUGCAAGCUAUUAAUGAAAUUAAUCGUUCAGAUACUAAUUAGAUUUUUGCUUCAUUGCUGCCGGAUUCAAAGUAUUAUAAAGUUGUCGAUUUGAGCACAGAUUUAUCUUAAUUACACUACACCCAGACAGCCCGUACUUGCCUUUGUUCAGGGAAGGUCUGGCGGUGUAUGCAACAGUGGUAAAGCGUGACCUGAGGACCUGCGCCUGCCUGGUGGCAGCAUACUCUUGCUGUAUGCUGAUGACCUGUUGAUAGUCUCCCUGUCGAAGGACACUUGUCGCUGUUACUCUAUUUUGCUGUUGCAGAGACUUCCUGAAUGUGGUCACAGAGCAGGCCUGGCUAAGCUACAGAUCUGCUCGCCAGAGGUUACAUAUUUGGUAAACGGUCGGUUGUCUCAGGGCUGUUGCUCUCAAGAUUGAGAAAAAAUAUUUUGCACAUCUUGAACAUUUCUGCUACUCAGCACAUGACAGCAGCUUGUUAAUCUGGCUAUUAGGUGAUCAAGCCUCCACCUUAAAUUAAAGCACUCACCACUCCUAAACUCAGAGACUCUUCUUCCUAUGAUGGAUGAAAAUGAUGAACAUGACUGUGUUGUGGUUACUGAAAACUAGAGACCAGAUUUGUUGCAGACACCAAUACCAAACUCUGAUUUGAUUCUGUACAUGGACGGGUCAGUAAGCAGACCGUCUGACACAAAAUAACUUGCUGGCUAUGCUGUAAUAACUGAUUAAGAAGUGUUGGAAGCACUAGCGUUACCUUCUGGUACCUCUGCUCAAGCUGCAAUAUUGUACGCCCUUGCAAGAACUUGCAUUUUGGCAAAGAAGAAAGCUGCAAACCAUUAAGAUAUGCUUUUGGUUUUGAUUUAAGUAAAUUAUAAAGACAGGAGGUUGUCCAGUCUUUUACGCGAUCCCCGUGCCCACUGUCAUGAAUGGCCCAUCACAGGUGGUAGAAGGAGGAUCAAUAAGAUAAUAAGAUCACAAUGUUGCGCACCAGGCAUCACACAAGUUUCGCACACUUUAUUGGAAAGAUGCAUUAUUUGUCAGCAAACUGGGAGAAAGUACAGCACAGUGAAACACGAUAAUUCAUUGCGUCCCUUUAUAAAUACGGAAAUAGAUUUGUACAUGCGAAGCUAUUAGAGGUACAAAUACUUAAUUGUAGACCAGUUUUUUAAGUAGGUUGAAGCUUUCCCAACUAGGAGACAGGAUGCAAAAAAAAUUGUCAUUAAGAUCCCUUCAGUGGAUAGCUCAGGUCAGGUUGCCCACACACAUUGCCUAUUGCGCUUUAUUCCAUUCCAAGUACACCUAGUGCAAGCCAACCUUUGACACCCCAUAAAAACUCUGCUUUGAACUGAUAAGUAUAUGUCAGAGUAUGUCAAUAAAACUAACUAACUAACUAACUAA